GUGAUGCUGAUUAGCUUAUUGCACCACAUGUGUUUUUCUUUGAAACAAACUUGCUUUGGCGGUGGGCCCAGCCUGCCGCCAGAGGUCUAAACUUACAACCAAUUUUUUAUCAACUUGUCACACCAGAUUAUUACUAAUAGUCAAAACUUUCAACAACGGAUCUCUUGGUUCUCGCAUCGAUGAAGAACGCAGCGAAAUGCGAUACGUAAUAUGAAUUGCAGAUAUUCGUGAAUCAUCGAAUCUUUGAACGCACAUUGCGCCCUCUGGUAUUCCGGAGGGCAUGCCUGUUUGAGCGUCGUUUCUCCCUCAAACCGCUGGGUUUGGUGUUGAGCAAUACGACUUGGGUUUGCUUGAAAGACGGUAGUGGUAAGGCGGGAUCGCUUUGACAAUGGCUUAGGUCUAACCAAAAACAUUGCUUGCGGCGGUAACGUCCACCACGUAUAUCUUCAAACUUUGACCUCAAAUCAGGUAGGACUACCCGCUGAACUUAAGCAUAUCAAAAGGCGGGAGGAA
rnacentral:rRNA from 1 species